rnacentral:rRNA from 1 species
GUAGGUGGCAAGCGUUGUCCGGAAUUAUUGGGGCGUAAAGCGCGCGCAGGCGGUUCUUUAAGUCUGAUGUGAAAGCCCACGGGCUCAACCGUGGAGGGUCAUUGGAAACUGGAGAACUUGAGUACAGAAGAGGAAAGCGGAAUUCCACGUGUAGCGGUGAAAUGCGUAGAGAUGUGGAGGAACACCAGUGGCGAAGGUGGCUUUCUGGUCUGUAACUGACGCUGAGGCGCGAAAGCGUGGGGAGCAAACAGGAUUAGAUACCCUGGUAGUCCACGCCGUAAACGAUGAGUGCUAAGUGUUAGGGGGUUUCCGCCCCUUAGUGCUGCAGCUAACGCAUUAAGCACUCCGCCUGGGGAGUACGGCCGCAAAGGCUG